rnacentral:rRNA from 1 species
CCUACGGGUGGCAGCAGUGAGGAAUAUUGGUCAAUGGACGAGAGUCUGAACCAGCCAAGUAGCGUGAAGGAUGACUGCCCUAUGGGUUGUAAACUUCUUUUAUAUGGGAAUAAAAUGUUCCACGUGUGGGAUUUUGUAUGUAUCAUAUGAAUAAGGAUCGGCUAACUCCGUGCCAGCAGCAGCGGUAAUACGGAGGAUCCGAGCGUUAUCCGGAUUUAUUGGGUUUAAAGGGAGCGUAGAUGGAUUGUUAAGUCAGUUGUGAAAGUUUGCGGCUCAACCGUAAAAUUGCAGUUGAAACUGGCAGUCUUGAGUACAGUAGAGGUGGGCGGAAUUCGUGGUGUAGCGGUGAAAUGCUUAGAUAUCACGAAGAACUCCGAUUGCGAAGGCAGUUCACUGGACUGCAACUGACACUGAGGCUCGAAAGUGUGGGUAUCAAACAGGAUUAGAUACCCUAGUAGUC